ACUAAUACAUCUAAUUAAAGCCAACUGAUCAAAGCUGAUCACUUGAAGGAUGACAUUUUGUUUCUUUUAAUGAAUGCGGAAAUGUUCUAAGGUCUGCAGUUGGUAAGCUAUGUCCUUUUUUCUAGAAUCUGUGUCAUCCUUUAUCCCUCCAGUUUAAUGAAGCUCCUAGAGAACAGCGAGUACUGUUCUAGCAAUAAGCAUUUGUUGUAAGCCUAUCAAGAGGUUGGCACUGUAUUCCAGUGGGAAAUUAAGCAAACACAAAAACCACAAACUACUGAGGUUGAUGAAGCUUCUUUUUUAACUGUCAAGAGAAAUUCUGAAAAGAGCAGGGCAAACGUGAAGAGUUGUUUAACAGGGAUCCUUUGCUAAGCACGGGUUUAGCACUUUCAGUAUAACUCUAGUUCUCUUAAUACAAAAACUUGUUGACGUAGGUACUGUUAUCAUGUCCACUUAGCACAUGGGAAAACCUUUGAGAAAUGCCUGAGAUUCUAUGGUUAGUAACCAACCUUGCCAGGAUUUGAGCUUAGUUCUAAAACUUUUGUAGUUUACUUCUCCCCACCACAGAAACCUUUAGCCCUCCCUUGAGUGAUUUUAGGGCUAGGGAUAACUUACGUUGGCUUUUUCUAGCUUGACUCUUCCGCCUAAGGAAUAGGAAUCCUUCCUCUCGUUCUUCUGAUGGGAGUUGGUCUUUCUACAGAGAGAUCCAGGAACUGAGAUAUUCUAGCUCAUUUAAAAGACGUUUUCUCCUUUGAGAUUAAUAUUAUUCACUCUUAUCUAUUACAGAUAUCUGAAUUGAUUAAUCAGAUAUAUUGCAAUUGCUUAUUCUAUAAAGGAUAUUGGACGGUUUGCUCAAUUGAAUAUAGUAGACAAGCAAAUUUGUGUAUUAUCCCCUCCCAGGGUUUUGUUAUUAAUAGAUUUAGUAAAGAUGCCUCUUGUGUCUUUAUCUGAGUGAUACACAGUGUAUGGAGGUAGAGUACACAGAUUCCUGAGGCAUAUUUCUAAACCUGUACCCCAUCCCAAGAGUCUUCAAAUAUCCAUGAUUAAUUUCAACGUUAGCUGCCAAUUAAGAUGUUGAUGCCAAGAUAACCUAUGACAGUAUUUUUUUUCUCCCUCCAGGUUCCAUAAUCCAGUAACUUCAGAUGAUGGUAUCCUGUAGUGAUAAUGAUAGUGGAGUUUAUAUUCAAAAUAUGUCCUAGUUAAAGCUUUGUGGUCUUCCUGUAUAGCAAUUAUAAAGAAUGAGUGCUAAUCUCAUUCUUAAGGGUGGUCAUUAGGGUUAAAUAUUACACACCUGCAAAGUGUGUAGUACUCAGUAGACUCUCAGUCAUGACUGGGGUGUGAGUAUGGUAGGCUUUUAGCAUCCGGCGGGCUGCUAGUUUAUUUAAUCCUUAUCUUUCUGCAGGGAAAGCUUUGCCUUGAGAUAUUUGCUGAUUUCUGUGACAUAAAAUCUCCAUUUGACACUAAUUUCAAGCUACCACUACGGCACCAGUUGGGAAGCAGUAUGCACAAUCAAACAGUUCUUAGGAACUAGUGUUAGCUGGCUCCUGCAUGGCCCUGUGUGGCCAAUGCUUGCCACCUCCUCCCACUCACAAGGAAGAUUUGUAGCAUUAAUAUGUGAGUAAAAAGAUACACAGAAAACAAAUUGUAUUACAAGGACUCCCAUCAGGUGCAGAUAUUGUGUGAGAAAGAGAAGUGAUAACUUUAGCUGCUGCUUUCUCUCCUGGCACAGUGUGCUACUUAUUCUCCCCAGAGUUUGCUUUUUUGCCUUUUUUUGUUUCACUUUCUCCCCUUUAUCCUCUUCUUUCCAGCACACACUUUAUCCACCACUUACAAAUAUCAAUGGAAGAGAUAGAUUUUAUGAGAAAUUCUGACUUUCAAGGAAAAUUAUAAACUCAAGAUGCCAGUAUCUUAUCAAUACUAAGAAACAUAUAUAAAAGCAAAGAGUGGCCUGGCCGAAAUCUCUGACACCAAAAUUUUGGCAUAUGAAGAAUGGACUUGUUCAGUAUCUGGCUGUAUAGUCUUUCUAUGUAAAGACAAAUGUCAAAAUAGGACUGUUUUCGUGUUUUAACUCACCAUCAAUUCCAGAUUGUUCAGGACUUCUUGCAGGUUGCCUCCAGUGGUUCUGUGAAAACCAACAGCUGUUAGGUAGAUAUUGAAGAGAGGCUCCCUGGGUACUACCCUCCUGUUUUCUCCUCUAGGCACAGGUGGAGAUAUUUAUGCACAGGGAAAGAAAUAAAAGGCACGUGUCCAGGUUCCUUUCUAGCUGUCUCCUUAGAAAGCACUGCUCCCUGUACCAUCCUCAAAACACGACACAGCUGAGAAUUGGUCCAGAGCCACACACAGCGUUACUUUUUUCCUUUGCUGCCUGCUUCCUUCUGGCAUCUCUUUGGCAGGUGGCAACACACUCUGCUCCCUGAACAGCAUUGUCAAUGGAGACAGGGCUUGCUCGUUUUAUGUCAACUUGACACAAGCUAGAGUCAUCUGAGAAGACGGAGCCUCCCGUGAGAAAAUGCCUCCAUAUGAUCUGGCUUGAGCUGCUGGUCCUGGGUCCUAUGAGAAAGCAGGCUUCGUAAGCAAUAGGGAGCAAACCAGUAAGGGGCACUCCUUUAUGGGCUCUUCAUCCACUCCUGCCUUGAGGUUCCUUCCAGGUUUGAGUUCUUGUCCUGACUUCCAAGUGUGAGCCAAGUAAAACCUUUUCUUUCCAAGUUGCUUUGGUCAUGAUGCUUCAUUUCAGCAAUAGUAACUCUAAGACAGAGACCUUCUUUCAUGAUUAGUAAAUAUUCGGCAUUUUUGAUCAUGUCAGUAUUGACUUAUUCUAUGCUUCUAAGUUUAGAAGAAAAAUCCUUCCUUAACAUUUGACUAUUGCUGAUUUGGGGAACUAAUAAUGCCAGGAGAAUAGUGAAUAAACCAUUAGAUCAUAUAAUUCUUAUGUUAUUGGUAAAGCAUACCUUUUAAGUAUGCCAUAUUUUUAAUACCUCAUUAAGUUAGAAACCUAAUUGCAUGCUGUGUCUGGAUGUUGCUGCUCAAUUCAACCCACUUAUCAAAUAGCAUUUGUUUUUCAAUAGUUGUUAAUGUUGAUUUUUAAAGUUGGGAUUUUUAUCUUUUUUUUUUUUUUGAGCUAAAGGGCAUUGCCAUAGAGACACUGGCAAAGUGAAGAGGAGCUCUACACAAGAAUUCCAUAAGUAGAAACAAUUUAAAUUCAAAACUUUGUUAGUCACUCUUGUCAUCACAGCUUAACGCUAAGUUAAUUUUCAUGUAAGACAUCAAGCAAAUCAGAAAAUAGUACCAUUACAUCAUCAUCAUCAUCAUAUCUUUAUUUGUCUUCAAUCACCACCAUUGUUAUUAUAUUUAUUUUAUGGUUUGGAUUAAUUUACUCUUAAUAGAGCAUCAUAGUAUGAAAAUUAUUUGAUUACAGUGCUUGCUCUACCACCUGGUGAAGAAAGUGGGGUUAUUUCUGAUAUCUCAAGCACAGCAUUCUUUGUCCAAAGUAGUAUAACUUUUUCCCAGUAGGGUUCAGGUUUGACUGCAGUUCCAGCUCUAGCUAAAGCUCACCCUGAGAAGCAUCGUGUCCUGCUGACUCUAAAAUCCUCCUUUACUAAGCCUUAGAUUUCUUCUUCUUCUUCUUCUUCUUCUUCUUCUUCUUCUUCUUCUUCUUCUUCUUUUUCAUAAAUUCCAAAGGUUUUGCCAGAGGAGUUCUAGACAUUUGAUUUUAUCACCUUCAAAUGCAAACAUCAAUCC
rnacentral:lncRNA from 1 species